rnacentral:ncRNA from 1 species
AAUUCAGCGAGGAUAGAAGACUCUGUUGAGCUUGACUCCAGUCUGACACAGUGGGGCGACAUGAAAGGUGUAGCAUAAGUGGGACCAGCAAUGGCGCCAGUGAAAGUACCACUACUUUCAUCGUUUCUUCACUAUUCAGUAAUGCGGAAUUCAGGUGCUCGGCAGCUUCACUUCUCGCCUUAAAGCCUUUGCUUCGGCAUUGGCGAUCCGUUCUGAUAACAGGGUCGAGCGGGAAGUUUGACUGGGCGGUACAUCUGUCAAACGGUAACGCAGGUGUCCUAAGGCAAGCUCAGCGAAGACAGAAACCUCACGUAGAGCAAAAGCUUGCUUGAUUAAGAUUUUCAGUACGAAUACAGACCUUGAAAGCGAGGCUUUAUCGAUCCUUUUGACUCUAAAAGUUUCAGCAAGAGGUGUCAGAAAAGGUACCACAGGGAUAAAUGGAGUGUGGCGGCCAAGCGUUCAUAGCGACGUCGCUUUUUGAUCCUUCGUUGUCGGCUCUUCCUAGCAUUGUGAUGCAGCUAUCGCCCGCUAACAGGGAACAGGAGCUGGUUUAAACCGUCGUGAAACAAAUUAGUUUUAUCCUACUGAUGACUGGUUGUUGCAAUGGUAAUCCUGCUCAGUACGAGAGGAACCGCAGGUUUGGACAUUAGGCACACGUGCUUGGUUAUACACGCUAGCUCGGCCGGCUUCUGGUCACCACACCAGAUAAACGUGAAGGCGAGAAAUCGUCGGUAGACGAUCUAAGUACCGGUCGGGGUAUCUGUUGAGACUCAUCCUUUGACCGGAAGAUUU